GACGAACGCUGGCGGCGUGCCUAAUACAUGCAAGUAGAACGCUGAAGGAGGAGCUUGCUCUUCUGGAUGAGUUGCGAACGGGUGAGUAACGCGUAGGUAACCUGCCUGGUAGCGGGGGAUAACUAUUGGAAACGAUAGCUAAUACCGCAUAAGAGUAGAUGUUGCAUGACAUUUACUUAAAAGGUGCAAUUGCAUCACUACCAGAUGGACCUGCGUUGUAUUAGCUAGUUGGUGGGGUAACGGCUUACCAAGGCGACGAUACAUAGCCGACCUGAGAGGGUGGUCGGCCACACUGGGACUGAGACACGGCCCAGACUCCUACGGGAGGCAGCAGUAGGGAAUCUUCGGCAAUGGACGGAAGUCUGACCGAGCAACGCCGCGUGAGUGAAGAAGGUUUUCGGAUCGUAAAGCUCUGUUGUAAGGGAAGAACGAGUGUGAGAGUGGAAAGUUCACACUGUGACGGUAUCUUACCAGAAAGGGACGGCUAACUACGUG
rnacentral:rRNA from 1 species